rnacentral:rRNA from 1 species
CUGCUAUCGGAUGAUACUAAGCCAUGCGAGUCUUUGUAGUAAUACAAGGCAUACGGCUCAGUAACACGUAGUCAACCUACCCUAUGGACGAGAAUAAUCUCGGGAAACUGAGCAUAAUUCUCGAUAGAUCAUAAUGCCUGGAAUGGUUUAUGGUUAAAAUGAUUCGUCGCCAUAGGAUGGGACUGCGGCCUAUCAGCUUGUUGGUGAGGUAAUGGCCCACCAAGGCGAUUACAGGUACGGGCUCUGAGAGGAGAAGCCCGGAGAUGGGUACUGAGACACGGACCCAGGCCCUAUGGGGCGCAGCAGGCGAGAAAACUUUGCAAUGUGCGAAAGCACGACAAGGUUAAUCCGAGUGAUUUCUGCUAAAGAAAUCUUUUGCCAGUCAUAAAACCACUGGUGAAUAAGGGGUGGGCAAGUUCUGGUGUCAGCCGCCGCGGUAAAACCAGCACCUCAAGUGGUCAGGAUGAUUAUUGGGCCUAAAGCAUCCGUAGCCGGCCUUGUAAGUUUUCGGUUAAAUCCAUGUGCUCAACGCAUGGGCUGCCGAAAAUACUGCAUGGCUAGGGAGUGGGAGAGGUAGACGGUACUCAGUAGGAAGGGGUAAAAUCCUUUGAUCUAUUGAUGACCACCUGUGGCGAAGGCGGUCUACCAGAACACGUUCGACGGUGAGGGAUGAAAGCUGGGGGAGCAAACCGGAUUAGAUACCCGGGUAGUCCCAGCUGUAAACGAUGCAGACUCGAUGAUGCAUUGGCAUAAUAGCCAGUGCAGUGUCGCAGGGAAGCCGUUAAGUCUGCCGCCUGGGAAGUACGUACGCAAGUAUGAAACUUAAAGGAAUUGGCGGGGGAGCACCACAAGGGGUGAAGCCCUGCGGUUCAAU